GUAAUCAGCUGUGUAAUUAGCUGGAGAAGAAAGGGCCCAACUUUUCUGUCCUACCCAGAGGAACAGAGUGGCCUGCCCUGUCCUUCCCAGGGAGACUUGCCUAUUUGGAUAACUUGUCGCUAUGGUGCUAUGAGCAUCUUUCCAGCUACAGGCUUCUUGGGCACUCCAGGCUGUCAAGGCCCAUAACCAGGUCACCUUCAUGUUUCGGGCAGCACACCGUGCAUAGCUCUUGUUCCCGUGUGCUUUAACAUCUAGUGUACAAGACUGCGUUACAGGCGUAACUGCACCUAAGCCCAUAAUCACAUGCACCCUGAAGCUAACAGUGGCCAGGAGCCCAGGGGUUCACAUCAAGCUGCUGGGAUUCAGCCUGGCUGAGAGCAACGUGAGUUCCUCCAGUCAGUAUUCAGGACUCACUGUGAAAGACCAGGGACACCAAGGGUGACACAGACAUACACGUCCAAAGGACGGGCAAGUGGCUGCAGUGUUCAUGGUCAAGAAGAGAGCCCCUCACCUGACUUCUGAGAAACCAUCAUCAAUGGCCACCAUUCUGAAGUUCAGGCUUCCACAAGACAGGCUGUUGUGAUAAUUGGAUGGGAUCAAGCGCAAAAGAGGCCCUGUCGUACGCCCACUGAGUUUAUUUAAGCUGUCCAUCUGCAUGGGGGCAGGGCCACCCGCCGGAGAAUGGCUGACCACCAAGGGCCACACUGCUGAAGAUAACUGACUCUCCUGCUAUGGUAGCCUCAACAGUACAUCAGCUUUGCCAUUCCUUGGAAUUCAGAUUACCGUAUGGAAAAGGUGUGAGCCCUCAGCUACUGCUUCAGAGCCAUGCCUGCCUGCUGCCAUGCUCUCUGCCAUGAUGACCAUGGACUCUAACCCUCUGAAAGUAAGGAUACAAACGAUGAAACAUCAGUUCCAUUCUGGGUCUGAAAGAGAUACUGCAGGGAUGUGGCGCUGGAUUACCAUGCCCUUCGAUGACCACCUAAAGAGAAUCUAACAAGUCAGGAGGCAGAUUAAAAAGUUAGCUAUUUGAGUCAGGUUUGAUUUCUGAGGUUCCUGAAGGCCUGAAAGGAAACACAUCUUAGCCCAUUUCUCCCUCCUUUACGUUGAAAGAGCAAACAAUUAAUUACACUGUUCUAGCCAACCCUUUCGCUUGACUUGAG